rnacentral:rRNA from 1 species
CGGACCGGCGCGACGGGUGAGUAACGCGUAUGCAACUUACCUAUCAGGAGGGGGAUAACCCGGCGAAAGUCGGACUAAUACCGCAUGAAGCAGGGGCCCCGCAUGGGGAUAUUUGCUAAAGAUUCAUCGCUGAUAGAUAGGCAUGCGUUCCAUUAGGCAGUUGGCGGGGUAACGGCCCACCAAACCGACGAUGGAUAGGGGUUCUGAGAGGAAGGUCCCCCACAUUGGUACUGAGACACGGACCAAACUCCUACGGGAGGCAGCAG